rnacentral:rRNA from 1 species
GCUCGCCAAAUUACUACGAGUGAAAACUUAAAACUUAAAGGACUUGACGGUACUUCACACUCAACCUAGAGGAGCCUGUCUACUAACCGAUAAUCCACGAUUAACCCAGCCACUUCUAGCCAUCAGUCUAUAUACCGCCGUCGCCAGCCUACCUUGCAAAAGAAACAAAGCGGGCAUAAUAGUGUCAGCACUAACACGACAGGUCGAGGUGUAACUAAUGAAGUGGACCAAGAUGGGCUACAUUUUCUAACAUAGACUAUACGAACAAAGAUAUGAAAUCAUCUUUCAAAGGCGGAUUUAGCAGUAAGCUGAGAACAUAAUACUCAACUGAAAUCAAUGCAAUGAAGUGCGUACACACCGCCCGUCAUCCCUGUGACACAAAAACAAUAAUAAAUAAUACAAUAAUAUAUAACUAAAGCAGGGCAAGUCGUAACAUGUGUAAGCGUACUGGAAAGUGUGCUUAGAAA